GACGAACGCUGGCGGCGUGCUUAACACAUGCAAGUCGAACGGAAAGGCCCUGCUUUUGUGGGGUGCUCGAGUGGCGAACGGGUGAGUAACACGUGAGUAACCUGCCCUUGACUUUGGGAUAACUUCAGGAAACUGGGGCUAAUACCGGAUAGGAGCUCCUGCUGCAUGGUGGGGGUUGGAAAGUUUCGGCGGUUGGGGAUGGACUCGCGGCUUAUCAGCUUGUUGGUGGGGUAGUGGCUUACCAAGGCUUUGACGGGUAGCCGGCCUGAGAGGGUGACCGGCCACAUUGGGACUGAGAUACGGCCCAGACGCCUACGGGAGGCAGCAGUGGGGAAUAUUGCACAAUGGGCGGAAGCCUGAUGCAGCAACGCCGGGUGCGGGAUGACGGCCUUCGGGUGGUAAACCGCUUUCGCCUGUGACGAAGCGUGAGUGACGGUAAUGGGUAAAGAAGCACCGGCUAACUACGUG
rnacentral:rRNA from 1 species